rnacentral:rRNA from 1 species
GUAUGGUGCAAGCGUUAUCCGGAUUUACUGGGUGUAAAGGGAGCGUAGACGGAGUGGCAAGUCUGAUGUGAAAACCCGGGGCUCAACCCCGGGACUGCAUUGGAAACUGUCAAUCUAGAGUACCGGAGAGGUAAGCGGAAUUCCUAGUGUAGCGGUGAAAUGCGUAGAUAUUAGGAGGAACACCAGUGGCGAAGGCGGCUUACUGGACGGUAACUGACGUUGAGGCUCGAAAGCGCGGGGAGCAAACAGGAUUAGAUACCCUGGUAGUCCACGCCGUAAACGAUGACUACUAGGUGUCGGGCAGCAAAGCUGUUCGGUGCCGCAGCAAACGCAAUAAGUAGUCCACCUGGGGAGUACGUUCGCAAGAAUG